rnacentral:tRNA from 1 species
GGGGAUGUGGCUCAGUGAAAGAGCAAUUGCUUAGUAUGUGUAAAGUCUCUGGGUUUGAGUCCCAGCACCACCA